AAGGUUUGAUCAUGGCUCGGAUUGAACGCUGGCGGGAUGCUUUACAUACCAGAGUCGAACGGCAGCACGGACUUCGGUCUGGUGGCGAGUGGCGAACGGGUGAGUAAUGUCGGAACGUGCUAGUAGCGGGGGAUAACUACGCAAGCAGCCCAGCUAAUACCGCAUACUGCCCUUCGAGGAGAAAACGGGGGACCUUCGGGCCUCAGCACUAUUAGAGCGGCCGAUAUCGGAUUAAUGGUCAGUGAAUAAGCUCACAAAACGACAAAUCCGUAGCUAGUUUGAAGGACGACCAACCAUACCUGCGGACCUGAGAACACAGCCUGAACUCCUACGAGAGCAGCAGGUAAAUUUUGGACAAUGGAAACCUGAUCCAGCCAUCCCGCGUGUGCGAUGAAGGCCUUCGGGUUGUAAAGCACUGGCAGGGAAAGAACGGCACGGGAUAAUACCGAUACGCUGACCGUAUGCCGAAAUAAGCACCGGCUAACUACGUGCCAGCAGCCGCCCGGUAAUACGUAAGUGCAAGCGUUAAUCGAAUCACUGGGGCGUAAAGCGUGCGCGGAGCGGUUCGGAAGAAAGAUGUGAAAUCUAAUGCUGGAACUGUUAUAUCUCAGUAAGUGUCAGAGGAAGUGGAAUUCCGCGUGUAGCAGUGAAAUGCGUAGAUGGCGGAGGAACACAAAUGACGCUAAAACUGAGCACUCACCUGAGAUACUCUGAAGCCCAGCAUCACCGUCGCAGCCGUCGAGAACAAAACAGGAUCUUAGAUGCCUGGUGAUCCGCCCUGAAGCGAUGUCAACUGGCUGUUGGGGCCUUCGAGGCCUUGUUGGCACAGCUGCGCGUGAGAUGACCGCCUGAGAAUUACGGUCGCAAGAUUAAAACUCAAAGGAAUUGACGGGGACCCACAAGCGGUGGAUGAUGUCGUUAAUUCGAUGCAACGCGAAAAUAACCACCUACCCUUGACAUGUCUGGAAUCCCGAAGUUGAGUGCUCGCAGAAGACACGGAACUUCGAUGCUGGCUGUCGUCAGCUCGUAUGUGAGAUGUUGAGUUAAGUCCGCAACGAAGCACAACCCUUGUCAUUAGUUGCUGCGAAAGGGCACUCCCUAAUGAGACUGCCGGUGACAAACCGGAGGAAGAAAUUAGGGAUGACGUCAAGUCCUCAUGGCCCUUAUAGGUAGGGCUUCUGCGUCUGCCUGUGUCAGGACAAGUCGCCAACCCGCGAAAGGAGCCAAUCGAAACCGAUCAUCGUCUGGAUCGCAGUCUGCAACUCGACUGCGUGAAGUCGGAAUCGCUAGUAAUCGCGGAUCAACAUGUCACGGUGAAUAAUUCCGGGUCUUCGCCGCACACCGCCCGUCCACCAUGGGAGUGGGUUUUACCGAAGUAGUUAAGCCUAACCGUAAGGAGGGCGAUUACCACGGUAAGUUCAUGACUUCAGGGUAAAAUCGUAACAAUC
rnacentral:rRNA from 1 species